GCCGGGUAUAGUGGCGUGUACCUGUAGUCCCAGCUACUUGGGAGGCUGAGGCAGGAGAAUCACUUGAACCCAGGAGGCGGAGGUUGCAGUGAGCCAAGAUCAUAUCACUGCACUCCAGCCUGGGUGACAGAGCGAGACUCAGUCUCAA
ensembl:misc_RNA Metazoa_SRP Metazoan signal recognition particle RNA